GGCGGCGUGCAUAACACAUGCAAUCGAACGAUGAAACUUUACUGACUUCUUCGGAAUGAUUUAAAGUGGAUUAGUGGCGGACGGGUGAGUAACGCGUGAGUAACCUGCCUUACACAAGGGGAUAGCCUCUGGAAACGGAGAAUAAUACCCUAUGAAACCAUCAAAUCGCAUGAAGUGAUGGUCAAAGUGUUAGCGGUGUAAGAUGGACUUGCGUCUGAUUAGCUAGUUGGUGAAUUAAAAGCUCACCAAGGCAACGAUCAGUAGCCGGCUUGAGAGAGUGUACGGCCACAUUGGGACUGGGACACGGCCCAGACUCCUACGGGAGGCAGCAGUGGGGAAUUUUGCACAAUGGGGGAAACCCUGAUGCAGCGACGCCGCGUGAUUUAGAAGGCCUUCGGGUUGUAAAAAUCUUUUGUAUAGGAAGAAAAUGACAGUACUAUACGAAUAAGGUCCGGCUAAUUACGUGCCAGCAGCCGCGGUAAUACGUAAGGACCGAGCGUUGUCCGGAAUCAUUGGGCGUAAAGGGUACGUAGGCGGGUUUUUAAGUUAGAAGUCAAAGGCUAUAGCUCAACUAUAGUAAGCUUCUAAAACUGGGAACCUUGAGAGAUGGAAGGGAAAGUGGAAUUCCUAGUGUAGCGGUGGAAUGCGCAGAUAUUAGGAGGAAUACCGGUGGCGAAGGCGACUUUCUGGCCAUUUUCUGACGCUGAGGUACGAAAGCGUGGGUAGCAAACAGGAUUAGAUACCCUGGUAGUCCACGCCGUAAACGAUGAGUGUUAGGUGUCUGGAGUAAAUCUGGGUGCCGCAGCUAACGCAUUAAACACUCCGCCUGGGGGGUACGCACGCAAGUGUG
rnacentral:rRNA from 1 species